UGUGAGGCAGGUGGGGAGAAUUCCAGUGCUUUCGCCAUAGUGUUUACAGGUCGCUUCUUUCUUUAGGAAGAUGAGACUAAGCCAGAAGACUGUAUACCAGACGUACCAGGCAAUGAACACGCCAGGGAAUUUCUGGCUCACGCCCCAACUAAAGGACUUUGGAUGCCCCUGGGGAAAGAAGUCAAAGUCAUGCAGUGAUACAGGAGUUAAAACAGUUACUGGAGGAUUCCACUUCAGAUGAAGAUGAGAGCAGCUCCAGUUCCUCAGAAGGUAAAGAGAAAAACAAGAAAAAGAAGAAAGAAAAGAAAAGGAAGAAAAAACUAAAGCAUAAGUCUUCCAAGUCAAAUGAGAGUUCAGACGCAGAUUGACAAGAACUUGACUUGUUCAACACUCUCUUCUCAAAGAUCAGAGGAAUGCGGAACGGGAGAGGAACGAGAGAGAGACAGUGAGAGAGGAGGACAUUUGGUGUCACACGUGUGCAUUCUCACCUACCUUCUAGUAAGGACGUGACCCACAGGAGAGGAGCUCUACCUUCCUGGGUGCCAGCUCUGGAAAGCGGCUGAUUCCAGGCAGGACAGCUUUUCUCAGUGUCCUCCCUGCGGAUCACUGCGAUUUGUGAUUCCUCAGAAAUGCCUCUGCCGGGGCAGCCAGAGGGAAUCUCUGAGGAAGCUCCCCAAAUGCUGCCACAGCUUCCACCCUCCAGAGUGGGGCCACUCAAUUCCCAUUGACUUCAGCCUUGACUUUCUCUGUUGUUAAGGCCAAUAAAAGCUGAUGAUUUUAUUUAUUUAAAAAAUACUCAUUUAUUUUUGAAUCAUAAUAUACUUAACAUGGUCCAAAUUUAAAAGGUAAAUAAGGUUUAAUUAUGAGAAACCUUUCUCCCCCAGCUACUCAGUUCCCUUCCCUAAUGGCUAACAAUGUUACCAGUUUCUUAUGGAAUCACCUAGAAAUAUUUUAUAUAUCACAAAUUAUUUUUUCUUUUUUUAACAUAAAUACAUGCAUACUAUACA